rnacentral:rRNA from 1 species
GGGCGCAGCUGAUGCAGCCCGCCGCGUGAGUGAUGAAGGCCUUCGGGUCGUAAAGCUCUGUCCUCAAGGAAGAUAAUGACGGUACUUGAGGAGGAAGCCCCGGCUAACUACGUGCCAGCAGCCGCGGUAAUACUACGUGCACGCAGCCG